rnacentral:rRNA from 1 species
AGUGAACGCUGGCGGUAGGCCUAACACAUGCAAGUCGAACGGCAGCACAGUAAGAGCUUGCUCUUACGGGUGGCGAGUGGCGGACGGGUGAGGAAUACAUCGGAAUCUACUUUUUCGUGGGGGAUAACGUAGGGAAACUUACGCUAAUACCGCAUACGACCUACGGGUGAAAGCAGGGGAUCUUCGGACCUUGCGCGAUUGAAUGAGCCGAUGUCGGAUUAGCUAGUUGGCGGGGUAAAGGCCCACCAAGGCGACGAUCCGUAGCUGGUCUGAGAGGAUGAUCAGCCACACUGGAACUGAGACACGGUCCAGACUCCUACGGGAGGGAGCAGUGGGGAAUAUUGGACAAUGGGCGCAAGCCUGAUCCAGCCAUACCGCGUGGGGGAAGAAGGCCUUCGGGUUGUAAAGCCCUUUUGUUGGGAAAGAAAAGCAGCAGGUUAAUACCCCGCUGUUCUGACGGUACCCAAAGAAUAAGCACCGGCUAACUUCGUG